rnacentral:rRNA from 1 species
AUUGAACGCUGGCGGCAGGCUUAACACAUGCAAGUCGAGCGGUAACAGAGAGAAGCUUGCUUCUCUGCUGACGAGCGGCGGACGGGUGAGUAAUGCCUAGGAAUCUGCCUAGUAGUGGGGGAUAACUUGCCGAAAGGUAAGCUAAUACCGCAUACGUCCUACGGGAGAAAGGAGGGGACCUUCGGGCCUUUCGCUAUUAGAUGAGCCUAGGUCGGAUUAGUUAGUUGGUGAGGUAAUGGCUCACCAAGACCGCGAUCCGUAACUGGUCUGAGAGGAUGAUCAGUCACACUGGAACUGAGACACGGUCCAGACUCCUACGGGAGGCAGCAGUGGGGAAUAUUGGACAAUGGAGGGAACCCUGAUCCAGCCAUGCCGCGUGUGUGAAGAAGGUCUUAGGAUUGUAAAGCACUUUAAGUUGGGAGGAGGAGCAGUUAACUAAUAUUUGACUGUUUUGACGUUACCGACAGAAUAAGCACCGGCUAACUUCGUGCCAGCAGCCGCCGUAA